GGGAGGCCGGGAGGGGUCCCUGGGCGGGGAGUUGCUGCGCAUCUGUUGUGUGUGUGCGUCUGUCUGUCUGUUCAGGUCUGUUUUAGGCUGUGUCUGUCUGUCUGUCUGGGUCUGUUUCAGGCUGUGUCUGUCUGUCUGUCCGGGUCUGUUUCAGGCUGUGUCUGGGUCUGUUUCAGGCUGUGUCUGUCUGUCUGUCCGGGUCUGUUUCAGGCUGUGUCUGUCUGUCUGUCCGGGUCUGUUUCAGGCUGUAUGUGUGUCUGCUCUUUGCUUCUGCUCCUGGCUCUGUGUGUAUUUCCCGGGUCCUGUG
rnacentral:lncRNA from 1 species